GGGGGUGCCUGGUUUUGACAGCGUAGAUCUUUGAAAGUAUAAGCAUGCCGGGCGUUGCGUAAUUAGCCCGUUAAUCUGAAUACGAAAACUAUAAAUGGCAAUACACAAUUUGCCAUGGCUGCUUAAUUAUUAAUUAGGUAGUCAUUAUGGCCGAGUGAGAAGGCAGUCCUGUUGCCCACUCCUCCGCCCAAUCAAAAACAAAACAGGAUGCUGCUACGGAAGGCUGUGACUGUAGCAAAAGACCCAUGCAGCUAAGGAAUUGAUCGGUUGUUUGUUCCCAGUCAAUUCCCGACAACCUAAAAUAAAAUAAGCAUGUAGAAGGCUUUUGAAGAAUAUGUUUGGACACGAGUUCGACUCUCGUCACCUCCACGA
rnacentral:tmRNA from 1 species